UUAAUUGAAGAGUUUGAUCAUGGCUCAGAUUGAACGCUGGCGGCAGGCCUAACACAUGCAAGUCGAGCGGAAACGGCAGUAUUGAAGCUUCGGUGGAUUUACUGGACGUCGAGCGGCGGACGGGUGAGUAAAGGCUGGGAACCUGCCCUGACGAGGGGGAUAACCGUUGGAAACGACGGCUAAUACCGCAUAAUGUCUUAGUUCAUUACGAGCUGGGACCAAAGGUGGCCUCUACAUGUAAGCUAUCGCGUUGGGAUGGGCCCAGUUAGG
rnacentral:rRNA from 1 species